AUUGAACGCUGGCGGCAGGCCUAACACAUGCAAGUCGGACGGUAGCACAGAGAGCUUGCUCUCGGGUGACGAGUGGCGGACGGGUGAGUAAUGUCUGGGGAUCUGCCCGAUAGAGGGGGAUAACCACUGGAAACGGUGGCUAAUACCGCAUAACGUCGCAAGACCAAAGAGGGGGACCUUCGGGCCUCUCACUAUCGGAUGAACCCAGAUGGGAUUAGCUAGUAGGCGGGGUAACGGCCCACCUAGGCGACGAUCCCUAGCUGGUCUGAGAGGAUGACCAGCCACACUGGAACUGAGACACGGUCCAGACUCCUACGGGAGGCAGCAGUGGGGAAUAUUGCACAAUGGGCGCAAGCCUGAUGCAGCCAUGCCGCGUGUAUGAAGAAGGCCUUCGGGUUGUAAAGUACUUUCAGCGGGGAGGAAGGCGAUGUGGUUAAUAACCGCAUUGAUUGACGUUACCCGCAGAAGAAGCACCGGCUAGCUCCGUGCCAGCAGCCGCGGUAA
rnacentral:rRNA from 1 species